rnacentral:rRNA from 1 species
CUACGGGCGGCUGCAGUGGGGAAUAUUGCACAAUGGACGAAAGUCUGAUGCAGCAACGCCGCGUGGAGGAUGACACAUUUCGGUGCGUAAACUCCUUUUAUAUAGGAAGAUAAUGACGGUACUAUAUGAAUAAGCGCCGGCUAACUCCGUGCCAGCAGCCGCGGUAAUACGGAGGGCGCAAGCGUUACUCGGAAUCACUGGGCGUAAAGAGCGUGUAGGCGGAUAGAUAAGUCAGGAGUGAAAUCCUAUGGCUCAACCAUAGAACUGCUCUUGAAACUGUCUAUCUAGAAUCUGGGAGAGGUAGAUGGAAUUUCUGGUGUAGGGGUAAAAUCCGUAGAGAUCAGAAGGAAUACCGAUUGCGAAGGCGAUCUACUGGAACAUUAUUGACGCUGAGACGCGAAAGCGUGGGGAGCAAACAGGAUUAGAUACCCGGGUAGUC